rnacentral:lncRNA from 10 species
AAAGUUUUUUUCCACUAUGGCAAUCAAAACCAACAUCACCAGGACUUCUAGUCUGGAAGGGUAUGGAUCCCCCUGGGUGUUCAGCAUAAAAGACACAGCAACAGAAGGAACUUGCAAUAGGAAUUGAACUUUGAGAACCACCCACCUCAACCACUCCUAGUACCAGUCUCCAGGAUUCUUGCCCUGACUUGGACAUUUGUGGGAUUUAUGGUUAAGGGAGAUCACUUGGCCAUAAAUCCCCGGUGAGGAAUGAUGAUGGUCCUCCCUCCCUACCCCCAAAAUUAAAGGCGCGAGAGCAGGACUCCCUGAAGGGAAACGGCCACCAUUUCUGCGAGGUCUGCGCAAACCUUACCAUGUAUGUGCCACCGUGAAACGCCGCUGUUUGGGGAUGUUGCUGCUGAGAAGCAUUCUGCGCAGAAGCCUGGGGGAAUUUCUCGGAGAGAUCACUGGAGAGAGCUUGGGAGAAACCGAUUUCCUCGCUGUCUUGGACUUCUCAUGCUGCAACAGGUUUUCUCGCAAGGAUUUCACAAGGUCUUCGUUCAGCCACGGGUUUGGACAAUGCGGAUUAUCCACUUCAGGCAUCUCACUACAACGACCUUAGAGGUGGCAUAAACUGAAAUAUAAAAGCUGGGUCUAUCAAGCAACUAAAAUCUGAUUUGAUGGUUAAAAGCUGGAAAAAUCCAAGAAUGAAUGAAAGAGCUUGUAGAUAGGCCCAGACAGUGGGCAGCAUGGCUCUUCUCCAGCCUGGGACACAGCUCAUCACUCAGGGUGGAUCCUGGAGAGAAGCUGCCUGAGUUCAGCCUUUGCCUAUCCCAGUACUCACUGUGUGCACCCAGAGGAGCUUCUGUGUAUCUGUGAGACCCUGUUUCCUCAUCUGCAAUACCAGGACUCAUAUCCUAGCGGGGCUCUGAAAACUAGAUCAGCUAAUGUAAGGCUUGGCCAUGUAUUUUCUCAAGAAUCGUUGCUGUGAAAGAGCCAGUGAAGUCACAGAGGGUAAAGUCAAUGGUCAACCUUCCUGAUUAAUGAAUAUUGAUUGAGCAUUCACCAUUUAAUAGUUAGCUCCUUCUAAGUCUAAUCGUUUUUAGUUUCUCCUGACACCUGUCAUGUAAGAGGCUCUAUAUGUGAGGAUAGACUUAGGGGGCAGUUGGUUCCUCUUUUUGGACACAGAACAGGAAGAAUAAAGAGAUCUCAGAAGGAAAAGGAAAGUGGGAGGAGGCUGGGUCUGUGGGUUCCCCGGUGGAUCACGCUGAAAGAAUACCUGGCAGACACUUAAUCUCUGCGGCAAAUGCAUGAAAGUAGAAGGAUGAAGCCAACUUUCCAAAAACUUUUAUGAAAUUACUUCAGUGAGAAAACCUAUUAAAUAAAUUACAGCCAUUCUAUAAAAAUAGAAUUCUAUGUUACUUCUAUAUAUAUACUUCUACUAUAUAUACUUGUACUAUAUUACAGUAGAAAUCAGUCAAUCCAAUCCCCUAUUGGGCAGAAGGGAAACUUGCCUCGGACCACACUGUCGGCUGGGGUCCUUAGCACGGUACUAGGUCUCCACCUCCAUGCACUACCCUGGUUCAGAGCUGGUGCUAUGGGUUGAAUUGUGUCCCUGCAAAAAUAGGCUGAAGUUCCAACCCCAGUACCUCAGAAAGGGACUUUGCUUGGAAAUAGGGUCUUUAGAGAGGUAAUCGAGUUAAAAUAAGGUCAUUAGAGUGGGCCUUAUCUGAUGUGAGGGGAAUUCUUAUAAAAUGGGGAAAUGCAGACACACACAUAUGCAGGAGGAAGGCACUAUGAAGAAACAAAGAGAGAAGACGGCUAUCCAAGGAGAGAGGCCUGGAACAAAUCCUUGCCUCACGGUUCUCAGAAGGAAACAACCUUGACAACACAUUACUUUUGGAUUUCUGGCCUCCAGAACUGUGAGACAAUGCAUUUUGGCUGUUGUAAGCCACCUAGGUUGUGAUACUUCCUUACAGCAGCCCUAGGAAAUGAAUACAGCUGGGGACCAGGCUUUUAGUCAAAAGAUCAGGGAGGAAGUCUGGUGUCUUGGGAGAAAUUUCUAGAUUAUAGGAGUCACUGAAUAUCGUAACUUUGAAAAAUCCAUUUUGAAUCUCACCAGAAACACAAAAGCCUGUAGAAAUCCAAUUAUACAAAUUUACAGUCUAGAAAAGGAAAAAAAAUGAAAUUACUCUUCAUGCACAUUUAAGCAGAGUUUAGGACUGGAAAAUAAACAAGGCUUUGGUAACUGGGGAGUGCAGUGCUAACAACACAGUUGCAGGUAUGUGGCUGUGUGGGUUUGAGCUUGGCUCUGCCUUUUACCAACUCCGUGACCUUCAGUCACUGCCCCCACUGUCUUCAGCUUUCUCCAAAAAGAGUGUUGUGUGUCCUCUUGGAGGCCAUACCCUGGGGUGCUCAGCACAGGGUUUCACACACAGUGACUAUUAACUGGAUUUUAGCUCCUAUUAUAAUUACUAAUAGCAGAUAAUUGCCUUAUUAAAAAAAUUAAAGGCAAGCCCCC